rnacentral:rRNA from 1 species
AUGAGGUGUGGAUAGCGGAGAAAUUCCAAUCGAACUCGGAGAUAGCUGGUUCUCCUCGAAAUAGUUUUAGGACUAGCCUUGUUUCGUAGCAUUUGGGGGUAGAGCACUGAAUGAGGUAGGGGCCAACACGGUUACUGAACUCUAUCAAACUACGAAUACCAAAUGUGUAAGAACAAGAGUCAGACUGCGGGAGCUAAGUUCCGUGGUCAAAAGGGAAAGAGCCCAGAUCGUCAAUUAAGGUCCCAAAGAUAUAGUUAAGUGGAAAACGAUGUGAUUUUGCGUAAACAACCAGGAUGUUGGCUUAGAAGCAGCCAUUCAUUCAAAGAGUGCGUAAUAGCUCACUGGUCGAGUGAAGUUGCGCGGAAAAUUACCGGGGCUAAACUAUACACCGAAAUUGCGGAUUCAUACGUAAGUAUGAGUGGUAGAGGAGCAUUCUGUUGUAGGACGAAGCAUGAUCGAAAGGACAUGUGGACGAAGCAGAAGAGAGAAUGCCGGAAUAAGUAGCGAAAGCAUGGUGAGAAUCCAUGCCAUCGAAAGUCUAAGGUUUCCUGGGGAAGGUUCGUCCGCCCAGGGUAAGUCGGGACCUAAGGAGAGGCCGAAAAGCGUAUCCGAUGGACAGCAGGUAGAAAUUCCUGCACUACGUAAUACUUAAAAGACAUAAAUGACACAGGAGUGGAAGAUAAGCGAGGAAGAGGAAAGACUCGUAUCGAAAGAUAUAGUGAAAAUUAAAGUAACGAAUUAUCAAGAAGCUAAUGGCGAGAAAAGUUUAUGGAUAUUGUAUUAAGUACCCGUACCGCAAACCGACACAGGUAGAUGAGGAGAAGAUCCUAAGAUGAGCGAGAGAAGCAUUGUUAAGGAACUCGGCAAACUGACCCCGUAACUUCGGAAUAAGGGGUGCUGGAGUAAAAUCCAGUCGCAGAGAAUAGUCCCAAGCAACUGUUUAACAAAAACACAGGUUUCUGCUAAAUCGAAAGAUGAAGUAUAGGAGCUGACGCCUGCCCAGUGCUGGAAGGUUAAGGGAAAGAGUUAGGGUUAAACCGAAGCUUAGAACUGAAGCCCCAGUGAACGGCGGCCGUAACUAUAACGGUCCUAAGGUAGCGAAAUUCCUUGUCAGGUAAGUUCUGACCCGCACGAAAGGUGUAAUGAUUUGGGAGCUGUCUCGACAAUGUACUCGGCGAAAUUGUAGUACUAGUGAAGAUGCUAGUUACCUGCGACAAGACAGAAAGACCCCAUGGAGCUUUACUGCAGCUUGAUACUGGGUUUCGGUAAUUUAUGUACAGGAUAGGUGGGAUGCUAAGAAGUAUGUGCGCCAGCGCAUAUGGAGCAGACGUUGGGAUACCACCCUUAAAUUACUGGAAUUCUAACUAUAAGUCCUAAGCGGGCUUGAGGACAAUGUCAGGCGGGCAGUUUGACUGGGGCGGUCGCCUCCUAAAGAGUAACGGAGGCGCCCAA